GUGGCAGGACAGCUGACCCUGGGACAUCCCUGUGGACACACUGCAUGGCUGGACUCCGCCCACCAGACACUCCCUGCCACGUUGCUGGGCUCUUGCCUGCACCCUCACUGCUGCUGCCACAUAUAUAUAAAACAAUAACUAUGGAUGAUCAAAGUCACAAAUGACCUGUGGAAAAGAGUGGACUGAUGAUCUACUAUGUACUCUAUAUUCAAAGCAUGGAGUUUGGCAUCACAGGAAUAUGAAGAAUGUCUGGGCUGCUGUAUCCAAUUUGAUCUAACUGCCACAACUCACAGGAAGUCUUUGUAAGGGUAACUGGCAGUCACCCCCAAACACAGGUUGAUAAAAAUCAUGCUUUGGAGCAUGGCACUGCAUAAAGUAUUAUUUUUG